AGGAGCGGUAUGAGGUGAAAGUCUCACGUACCGUUUUGGAGAGCAGUGGAGGGGGCGACCUCUUCACUGACUUUAAU
rnacentral:ncRNA from 1 species